UUUCACACUUAAAAUAUUACCCUGCAGCCCAAGACCCGUUACUCACUGAAGCUUAGCAGGGCUAAGCCUGGUCAGUACCUUGAUGGGUGACCACAUGAGAAAAACUAGGUUGCUGUUAGAG
rnacentral:rRNA from 1 species